UACGAGGGGGGCAAGCGUUUGUUCGGAAUUAUUGGGCGUAAAGGGCUCGUAGGCGGCGUGUCGCGUCGGGGAGUGAAAGCCCGUUGCUUAACGGCGGGUUGGCUUUCGGUACGGGCAUGCUGGAGUGCGGCAGGGGAGACUGGAAUUCCUGGUGUAGCGGUGAAAUGCGCAGAUAUCAGGAGGAACACCGGUGGCGAAGGCGGGUCUCUGGGCCGAUACUGACGCUGGAGGAGCGAAAGCGUCGGGGAGCGAACAGG
rnacentral:rRNA from 1 species